rnacentral:rRNA from 1 species
UAGGGAAUCUUCCGCAAUGGACGCAAGUCUGACGGAGCAACGCCGCGUGAGUGAAGAAGGAUUUCGGUUCGUAAAACUCUGUUGUUAGAGAAGAACAGCGCAUAGAGUAACUGUUAUGCGUGUGACGGUAUCUAACCAGAAAGCCACGGCUAACUACGUGCCAGCAGCCGCGGUAAUACGUAGGUGGCAAGCGUUGUCCGGAUUUAUUGGGCGUAAAGCGAGCGCAGGCGGUCAAUUAAGUCUGAUGUGAAAGCCCCCGGCUCAACCGGGGAGGGUCAUUGGAAACUGGUUGACUUGAGUGCAGAAGAGGAGAGUGGAAUUCCAUGUGUAACGGUGAAAUGCGUAGAUAUAUGGAGGAACAACAGUGGCGAAGGCGACUCUCUGGUCUGUAACUGACGCUGAGGUUCGAAAGCGUGGGUAGCAAACAGG